UGAGGAAUAUUGCGCAAUGGGCGAAAGCCUGACGCAGCGACGCCGCGUGGAGGAUGAAGGCCUUCGGGUCGUAAACUCCUGUCGAGGGGGACGAAAUGGCGCUCUGUCAAUAGCAGGGCGCCUUGACGGUACCCCUGGAGGAAGCCCCGGCUAACUCCGUGCCAGCAGCCGCGGUAAUACGGAGGGGGCCAGCGUUGCUCGGAAUCACUGGGCGUAAAGGGCUCGUAGGCGGUUUGAUAAGUCCUGUGUGAAAUCCCUUGGCUUAACCAAGGAACUGCGCCGGAUACUGUCGAACUAGAGGCCGGGAGAGGGAAGCGGAAUUCCGAGUGUAGCGGUGAAAUGCGUAGAUAUUCGGAGGAACACCGGUGGCGAAGGCGGCUUCCUGGACCGGUUCUGACGCUGAUGAGCGAAAGCUAGGGUAGCAAACAGGAUUAGAUACCCUGGUAGUCCUAGCUGUAAACGAUGGGCGCUUGGUGUUGCGGGUAUCGACCCUGCAGUGCCGAAG
rnacentral:rRNA from 1 species